rnacentral:rRNA from 1 species
AGAUUGAACGCUGGCGGCAUGCCUUACACAUGCAAGUCGAACGGCAGCACGGGAGCAAUCCUGGUGGCGAGUGGCGAACGGGUGAGUAAUAUAUCGGAACGUGCCCAGUCGUGGGGGAUAACGCAGCGAAAGCUGUAGCUAAUACCGCAUACGAUCUAUGGAUGAAAGCGGGGGAUCGCAAGACCUCGCGCGAUUGGAGCGGCCGAUAUCAGACUUAGCGUAGUUGGUGGGGUAAAAGCCGUACCGAAGGCGACGAUCUGUAGCUGGUCUGAGAGGACACGAGCCACACUGGAACUGGAGACUACGGGUCCAG